rnacentral:lncRNA from 10 species
UCCUUGUGAAAUGGUUGAAAAAUAAGUUCAGCACUUAAAAGAUUCCGUGAAUUUGUUGUUGUUGUUGUUGUGCAAAGAAUAAAAGAAAUCAUGAACACCUGCGAAAGAGUGGGGGAGAAAGGCAUGUUUAAGAGAAUGUAACCUAAGGGCAGAGGCGGGCGACUGGCGCCGGGAGGAAGCCACAGUUUGAACAUUUAACCAAACACUCAAAGAUUGGGCAAACCCUGGCGUCCAGAUGCAACACACACACUCGCCUCGACAGCGCAAAUUAAACAUUAAAAUAGCAGAGACUCAAGGGAAAAACUUCCCAACCCAAUCUCCUAUUUGGAUCUCCAACAGCAGUGCUACAGGCGCCAGUCUGCUUCUCGUAACAAUUAUUUGAUUGAAAACAGCCCUUUAGUUAACAGAUAGGGAAGUCUGGGAUCCCACAUCACAGGGUUGAAGGCACAGGGUAGCAAUCCUCAACUAGCCCAGAGAAUCCCAGAGGACUAUAGUUUUAGGGAAGGAGGAUCACUAUGGAAUUUGUGGCGGUAAGAUUAAUUACAGUGGAGGUUAGUACCUCAUAGUACCAGAGGACUCGUAGGAAGAUCCAGGGCAUUACAUUUGCUACAAAGCCAAUACACACGUUCCUCGGCCGCCUUCGUAGUAAGUUAUUGGCAUCAUUUCCUUUUAAAGGAAAAUGUUCUGUGAUCUCGAGCACCCAAAGCUACAAGCUCCUUCAUGUCUAGUGAGACAAUGUAGUACGGGUAACACCGCGAAGUAAGCAUGCAUUUACCAAAUCAGACAUUUUAUAGAUACACAAGCAAAAACACAUGCGCGCGCGCGCACACACACCGAGGGGCAGUUUACCCACGGGUGGCACAAGCAAACACUCACCGCUUAUUCAGCCACACAGUGCUUUGCUGUCAUUUGACAUUAACUCAGAAGGGAAUUCAGAAGCCUGGAAAGAAAGAGGAUAAAGAGUACGAGGUUAAGACAAUGUUAAGUAGAAAGGGUUUUUUUUUUUUUUUUUUUUUUUUUGUAGUCCACAGACCAGCAAGUUCCAUUAAACACGUUUAUGGUAACAAUUCAGAUUUAAAGACAGACGCAUUAACAUGUCAGAACUUACUAGCAAUUUCACGCACAGCUCAAUCUACAGCAGAUUCUGAAGAAAAUAAAGUUAAAUAGCUCAUACGAAAGUCACCGUCUGGGCUACGGAUCUCCUAGUGACAGCCCAGACGACCGCGGGAGUGUGCGGCGGCGGGGCGGGGACCCCGGAGCAGGUCUUACCUGCAAGGACAGGAUGCUGAUAUCCGUGUUGAGGGUGGUCAGCGGCGUCCAAGAUGUAGUCGAUGACGUGCUGCAGGAUUUCCAUCUUGCUCACCUUCUUGUUCUGGGGGAUGCUGGGCACCAGCUCCUUGAGCUUG